rnacentral:rRNA from 1 species
ACGUAGGGUGCAAGCGUUGUCCGGAAUUACUGGGUGUAAAGGGAGCGCAGGCGGACCGGCAAGUUGGAAGUGAAAACUAUGGGCUCAACCCAUAAAUUGCUUUCAAAACUGCUGGCCUUGAGUAGUGCAGAGGUAGGUGGAAUUCCCGGUGUAGCGGUGGAAUGCGUAGAUAUCGGGGGGAACACCAGUGGCGAAGGCGACCUACUGGGCACCAACUGACGCUGAGGCUCGAAAGCAUGGGUAGCAAACAG